rnacentral:rRNA from 1 species
UAACAAGGUCUCCGUUGGUGAACCAGCGGAGGGAUCAUUACUGAGUUUACGCUCUACAACCCUUUGUGAACAUACCUAUAACUGUUGCUUCGGCGGGCAGGGUCUCCGUGACCCUCCCGGCCUCCCGCCCCCGGGCGGGUCGGCGCCCGCCGGAGGAUAACCAAACUCUGAUUUAACGACGUUUCUUCUGAGUGGUACAAGCAAAUAAUCAAAACUUUUAACAACGGAUCUCUUGGUUCUGGCAUCGAUGAAGAACGCAGCGAAAUGCGAUAAGUAAUGUGAAUUGCAGAAUUCAGUGAAUCAUCGAAUCUUUGAACGCACAUUGCGCCCGCCAGCAUUCUGGCGGGCAUGCCUGUUCGAGCGUCAUUUCAACCCUCAAGCUCUGCUUGGUGUUGGGGCCCUACAGCCGAUGUAGGCCCUCAAAGGUAGUGGCGGACCCUCCCGGAGCCUCCUUUGCGUAGUAACUUUACGUCUCGCACUGGGAUCCGGAGGGACUCUUGGUAAAACCCCCAAUUCUCCAAAGGUUGACCUCGGAUCAGGUAGGAAUACCCGC